rnacentral:rRNA from 1 species
AUUGAACGCUGGCGGAAUGCUUUACACAUGCAAGUCGAACGGCAGCACGGGGGCAACCCUGGUGGCGAGUGGCGAACGGGUGAGUAAUACAUCGGAACGUGCCCAGUCAUGGGGGAUAACGUAGCGAAAGUUACGCUAAUACCGCAUACGAUCUACGGAUGAAAGCGGGGGACCGUAAGGCCUCGCGCGAUUGGAGCGGCCGAUAUCAGAUUAGGUAGUUGGUGAGGUAAAGGCUCACCAAGCCGACGAUCUGUAGCUGGUCUGAGAGGACGACCAGCCACACGGGGACUAAGACACGGCCCAGACUCCUACGGGAGGCAGCAGUGGGGAAUUUUGGACAAUGGGCGCAAGCCUGAUCCAGCCAUUCCGCGUGCAGGACGAAGGCCUUCGGGUUGUAAACUGCUUUUGUACGGAACGAAAAGGCUCUGGUUAAUACCUGGGGCUCAUGACGGUACCGUAAGAAUAAGCACCGGCUAACUACGUGCCAGCAGCCGCAGUAA